UAACAACAAAGUUUUGUUGCACCAUUAGUAAUUGGUCAGAGGCAUUGAUAAAAGAAUAGAAUAAAAAUGUUAGUCAAUGCAAGUGCUUGGUCGGAAUCAUCAAUGUGGCUUGUCCAUUACCUCUAGAAGAUCUGCUAGACAAACAUUGGAAAUGCAAAUGUGCAGUUUUUCUUGAAUAUUUAUUGCUUUUAAGAUCUACAAACAUUCUCUCAUCUCUAUGUAAUUCUUUACAAAAUUGUGAACGUGUUAAAUAUUAAUACCUCAACUAUGAUUAAGUAAAAGGUCAACUAAUAAAUAUAAUGUAUUCUUAUGUUUAAAUAUGA
rnacentral:misc_RNA from 1 species